UGUAGUGUCCGAUACAGCGAAACAGUUCAGAUUGCGGAUACUAUGUUUUGAGGUUUAUGAAAGAAAUCAUUCAAGCGAAUCAAUUAGAGAUUCCAAUCACGUACUUUGACGACUUCUAUGCUGCUUCUUACACGAGACUUAAGUUGGAAGAAAUCAAAGAGGAUUUGUGUCAAUUUUAUAUUCAGCAACUAUUCAUAUAGGACCAGGCCGGGAAACGAUCAAAC